rnacentral:lncRNA from 14 species
GAGCUGGCAGAGUCACCCACAGCUUUUAAACAGCACGGAUGAGAAAGUAGCCAUGUUUCUGUUGUGUUUUGGAAAUACAGGAUAAAACACUCCCUACAUAAUACAUGUUUUGAUGACUUCAAGGCUUAAGGAAGACGGAUCUAAAAGGGAUCCCCUUGCUGCAUCAUAACAGAGGAAGCAACAGCUUGUCAGGAGAAUAACUUGAAUGAAAGGAAGUAACUAAUCCAAUGAUGGACUGAUGACACCUUCGAUGCAGUACAAGGCUGCAGGAAAGAUCGAUUGGCUCAGUGCAAGAUGAAGAAUAGUCCUACUGCCAGCAGUCGCUGCCUGCCUGAGACCCAAACUGGUUGCACACAGCUGCUAUAACCACAGGGUGAAAAAGUG